rnacentral:rRNA from 1 species
UACGUAGGGACCGAGCGUUGUCCGGAAUCAUUGGGCGUAAAGAGCGUGUAGGCGGCCUGUUAAGUCUUGCGUGAAAUCUCGGGGCUCAACCCCGAGCGGUCGUGAGAAACUGGCAGGCUAGAGUGCGGGAGAGGAGAGUGGAAUUCCUGGUGUAGCGGUGAAAUGCGCAGAUAUCGGGAGGAACACCGGUGGCGAAGGCGGUUCUCUGGGCCUUACC